rnacentral:rRNA from 1 species
CAGUCGCCGCGGGAAUACGUAGGUGGCAAGCGUUGUCCGGAAUUAUUGGGCGUAAAGGGCUCGCAGGCGGUUUCUUAAGUCUGAUGUGAAAGCCCCCGGCUCAACCGGGGAGGGUCAUUGGAAACUGGGAAACUUGAGUGCAGAAGAGGAGAGUGGAAUUCCACGUGUAGCGGUGAAAUGCGUAGAGAUGUGGAGGAACACCAGUGGCGGAGGCGACUCUCUGGUCUGUAACUGACGCUGAGGAGCGAAAGCGUGGGGAGCGAACAGGAUUAGAUACCCCUGUGUCCCUGUCUCUUAUACA